AUUGAACGCUGGCGGCAUGCUUUACACAUGCAAGUCGAACGGUAACAGGCCGCAAGGUGCUGACGAGUGGCGAACGGGUGAGUAAUGCAUCGGAACGUGCCCAGUCGUGGGGGAUAACGCAGCGAAAGCUGUGCUAAUACCGCAUACGAGCUAUGGAUGAAAGCGGGGGACCGUAAGGCCUCGCGCGAUUGGAGCGGCCGAUGUCAGAUUAGGUAGUUGGUGGGGUAAAGGCUCACCAAGCCAACGAUCUGUAGCUGGUCUGAGAGGACGACCAGCCACACUGGGACUGAGACACGGCCCAGACUCCUACGGGAGGCAGCAGUGGGGAAUUUUGGACAAUGGGCGCAAGCCUGAUCCAGCAAUGCCGCGUGCAGGAAGAAGGCCUUCGGGUUGUAAACUGCUUUUGUACGGAACGAAAAGGUUUGGGUUAAUACCCUGGGCCGAUGACGGUACCGUAAGAAUAAGCACCGGCUAACUACGUGCCAGCAGCCGCCGUAAAAC
rnacentral:rRNA from 1 species